GACGAACGCUGGCGGCGUGCCUAACACAUGCAAGUUGAGCGACGAACCAGGGCUUGCCCUGGGGCAAAGCAGCGAACGGGUGAGUACACGUGGGUAACCUACCCCGAUAACCGGGACAACCCGAGGAAACUCGGGCUAAUACCGGAUGCGCUCACUGGACUUCGGUUCAGUGCGUAAAGGAAGCUUCGGCCUCCGUAUCGGGAGGGGCCCGCGGCCCAUUAGUUUGUUGGUGAGGUAACGGCUCACCAAGACCGCGAUGGGUAGCUGGUCUGAGAGGACGAUCAGCCACACUGGGACUGAGACACGGCCCAGACUCCUACGGGAGGCAGCAGUGGGGAAUCUUGCGCAAUGCGCGAAAGCGUGACGCAGCAACGCCGCGUGGGGGAAGAAGGCCUUCGGGUUGUAAACCCCUUUCAGGAGGGACGAAGGUUCGGCGGUGAAUAGCCGUCCGGACUGACGGUACCUCCACAAGAAGCCCCGGCUAACUACGUG
rnacentral:rRNA from 1 species